ensembl:lncRNA LINC02278 long intergenic non-protein coding RNA 2278
AAGCGUCUUUGCCUCCAACUCUGUGGUAGGCUGGGAAUUAUGCCUGCGCACUCAAAUCCACUCUAUUUCAAUAAUUUUUCAGCUAAGGGGGCUCAACUGAGCAUCGUGACAAUGGCCUCCAUGAGACCAUGGUCUGUGUCCGCUGUGAGACUCCAAUAUAAACAGGAGUGGGAAAGGAGAUUUGAGAGUAGAGACGUGUAGGAUGAAAAGGGAAAAGGGAAGAGAGAGAGGUGCAGAAAGAACAAACAGCCUAUUGAGGAUAUUGGUAGCCAUAGAAGGUUUUGAUGCCUGCACCAAGUCUCGAAGGGAACAAGUAGAUGCUACUCUCAGUGUCCACUAAACCAUAAGUCCUUUGAGGAUACAGGAAGACAUCCACCAAUCUCAAGAUCAAAAUGUGAUAAGAGGAAGUCUGCAAGCAAAGAAGAUGUUACCCACCACCACCUCUUACAGAAAUGGCAGAAUCUCUGGGAAUAAUGGUUUUCACAAAGAAAGCAUUCCUAAUCACUCAGGGGGAACUAGGUCACCACCACAAAUUGUCCUCCAGUUAAAAGCAUGAACUCUUCUGGACACGAAUUCUCUUCUGAGUGUGAGGAUGCCAUGACUGUGAUACAGGGUAAAGUGGGAUGGAGUGCUUAAUCCCCAAGAAAGUCCAUCAGGAAUAGGAGAAGGCCAGUUUAAGAGCAUUUAAUGUUGUCCAACAAGUCCAACUGAAAUCGGGAGUGGUUAAUCCUCAUAAAUAUAAUAUCUAUCAUUAGUUAUUCAGGAAAUAUGGGAAGUCAGUACCAAGUCAGAUGGUCCAAAACACGCAAGUCAAUUAAGCAGCCUGAAAGAGGUGACACGAGGCAUGAGUGAUGCCCAAAGAAGGUGACACGCCCAGUGUAGCUGGUUACAAAGCAAGCCUCCUGAUAGCUGGAUGUGUUUUGAAAUACUUGUAAAGUCCUUGGUAAGCAUCUCCUAUUCUUGUGAUAAAUAAACACUACCAAGGAAAAAGUACUAAACCACUCAACUGAAGUUUGAAUUGAUAAAGAAUGGUAAUGUGCACAAUACUGAAUGACCUUGGAGCCUCUUUGAUCUGUGCGUUUCUAUAUUCAGCUCAAGGUCCCAUUGAAACCAAGGAGUUUAUGUUUGGGCCAAUAAAUAGAGCUAAUAAAAGUUCACCCUUGGACUGGGACUCUUUGAAUGGCUGGAACAUGGGUCAUUUAUGGUGUUUGAUGACUGUGAAUGCCAACAAAACUACUACUGAGUAUAUAUGGCUUCUUUUACACCCUAGAUGAGAAAAGCCUGCCUGUAGCAUGUAGGAGAGUAAAAAAGAGAAUAAGCAACCUGAUGCCACAUAUUGAAAUUUCAUUUGACAAAUAUGCAUUGAAUAUCUACUAUGUGGCAGACAGCCUUCAAGCAGGAGGGAUACACAGAUGAACCAAAUGUAGGCCCUGCCUGUGAGACUCCAGACUGGACAGAAUGCACUUAAGUCCACAUAGCAGUAAUACACGUCGGACUGUGAGGAUGGCUGAGCAGAAGGAAGAGCAAGGAAUUCUCUAUGGGAAGACUCUGGAAGGCUUUAACAAGGAUGUGCUCUUUAGCUGAACCUUAAAGCAUGAGUGAAAAAAAAGAGCAGAAAAAGGUGGUGUUUUGAGCAGAGAACAGACACUGAGCAAGAAGCAGAAGAGCAGAGGAGCCGAGAAAGCUGGACAGAGUUCUAGAAAUGUGGCAUGGAAGGAAUGAAAGGUCUGAGGAGGGAAAGGAGGUCAGGACCAACUACGAAUGGUCUGGAAUGACUUGCUACACGUGGAUUUGACUUUAUUUGUAGGCCGGGGGGUUGUAGAGGUUUUAUAUUUUUAUACAUUUAUUUUUUAAUUUUCAUAUUUCAACAGAGCUUGUUUCAAGUAAUUCUUAUGUAAAACAUGAAUGUAUACAACAAAAACAAGCGGGUGAUGUUUCAUUAGUACAAACGUGCUUUUAUAAUCUUAACUUUAUUAAGCUUGCUUAUUCUUAAGUUAACCAAUGAGAACAAUUCUAAUCGUCUGCACAUGAGUCAAGAUUUUGC